GGGCCUAUAGCUCAGUUGGUUAGAGCAGCGGACUCAUAAUCCGUUGGUCCCCAGUUCAAGUCUGGGUGGGCCCACCA
rnacentral:tRNA from 3 species